rnacentral:lncRNA from 1 species
CACAAUAAAAUUUCAUAUAAUGACAGGCAGAGUAGAAUAAACAGAAGUCCAUUCCGGAAAUCUCAAAGAAACAAUGUAAUUUUGUUAACGACCAACCAACUAACUUAAGCUAAAAUUGCAAUUAAAUUAACACAACCGAACAAAAUAGACAACAUUAAAGUGAACGAAAACACUGAAUAAAAAAUUUAAUGCCAAAGUGCUUGAACUAAUUGAAGCGAGAAUAAAACAUGGAAGAAAAUGCAUCGUGUAGGCUAAAGAAAUGAAAAGGCACAUUGCAUCUUGGAACACCCUAAUGCAUAAAUAAAAGAAUUGCCAAAGUAAACUAACCAAUUGGAAGGCAAUGGAUGAAACAUAGAACACAAUUAACGCUAAAGGAAGGACAAUGCAACAAAGAAAUCUAUUACAAUUAAUAUGCAUAAAGAUACUAUUAAGCUAAAAAGUGAAUGCUAAUUUUAGUAGCUGGUAAUGGCAUUCAUCAUUGAGAAACAAUGCAAGGAAAAAUGCAAGGAAAAGAAACAUGAACAUAUGAAGACCCAAAUGAUGUGGACGUUAAAUUGCUAGAAUCAAAACAAUCAACGCAAGAGUGUUGUGUGCUUCUAAAUCAACUACUUCUUUCUAAAAGCCAAAAGAAAAUAAAUGUGAUAAAAAGUUUCAUCCAGACUGUAGUCAUCUCGUAAACCGUGACACCACCUACUUUCUCCAAUUGCCAAUCAAUACUAAAUCCAUUGUGGGUGGUAGAAAUGAAAUAAGUGCAUAUGCAUCCUACUGGACAUCACCGUCCAUCUCAUUUGCUUCCAAUGAAGAAAUGAGCUGCUUCUUUUUGUAAGAGUAAAAAGGACCUUCAUUCAUCGGUGGCGGCUGCUGCCUUUUAUUCCAACAAAAUGAAACCCUCAUGUGCCAUGUUGAAUGAAGAAAAUUGAAUUACCCAUGGGCCCCUUCCUUCACGUGCAGCUGUUGGAUGCGUGUGAGAAGGCAAGACUUCAAAACCUGCUUUGGGCCGCUGUUGUGUGCUUUUGGACAGAAGCGUUGGACGUGUAAAGAUGUGGCAGCUGCUAUGGGCCGUGACACACCUUCAAGCUACUAAGUCCUCUUGGACGGAAGCUACAGCGUGGAGUCCUGCCAGAUGUUUUUUCACACACCCUCUUAAACAAUUAUCCAAGGUUGGACCUCCAAAUUUUCUGGACGCACCUCCUUCAAAGCUGUUGGACCUGCCGUGUGCACCACUCCAAGCUGGAUGCUUUUUAUAUAUGCUGGACCGUGACACCACUUCUCCAAGCGUGGGCUGCAACACUUUUUCUUUUAUUUUUCUUGUUGGAAGUGCCAAUUAUCUCAAAUAAAGAAACCAAAAAUCAUUUUCAUUUGUGGGUUGUAACAUGCUAUUGUAUGCAACUCCAAAAGAAUUUGUUUUCAUUGUGCUAGCAAAUUGAACUAGCGUGACACCGUCAUCUUCCAAGUGUAAGACGAAUCAACACUUUUUUUUAUUGCAGUCGUUUUUCUUCCUUCAAAUGUCCCACAUUGUAUUUCCAAAAUUUUUCCUACAAUUGAUAACGGUCUAAAAACCGUUAUUUUCAUGCUUAAAUUUGAUAUCAAAACACACCCUUUAUGGCUUAGAAUGAGCUUAAAAUCAAGUAAAACACUUAGUUAAGUCAUGUGAGAGUCAAAAGUUGGUUUUAGAGAUAUUAUGCUUGUUUUUGCAUUGCUUUGUAGGGUUUUGAUGUGAAUUAAAGAUAGAAGUAAAGCAAGGUGGACUUAGACUCAUGAAAGAAGACGAAAAAGGAUGAAAAGAAGAGUCAAGUGAACCAUUCAAUGCCCAAAUCCAACACUGAGCCUCCAGAGUGAUUAGAGGCAAACCACUGAGCGGUGAUAUUGACCGUUGAGCGAUGGCGCGAUUAAGGGGAAACCGCUGAGUGGUUAAAUUAGGCAUUCAGCGGUUGUCUGCUGGGCUUGGGCUUAAAUUCUGUUCCUUUUUUGGUCUAUAAAUAACCCCAGUCAAAUUGUAAUCUAUUGGCAGGCAGAGACGUCCAGAGCUGUUCUACACACCUUGGAGGAGGUUCCCCUAAUACUUAGGCUCCAAUAUACCAAAUUUAGGGUUUAUUCUUCCAUUCUUUCAUUGUAUUUCAUCUAGUUUUACCAUGUCAAUGGUGAACUAAAUCCUUUGUUGUUGGGGAACAAUGUAAUCUUUUGAAACUCUCUUAUAUCAAAAUUCUUAUUUUCUU